rnacentral:rRNA from 1 species
GUGGGGAGUAUUGGACAAUGGGCGAAAGCCUGAUCCAGCGACGCCGCGUGGGUGAAGAAGGCCUGCGGGUUGUAAAGCCCUUUCGGUUGGGAAGAAAUGUAUUGACCUAACACGUCAGUACCUUGACGUAACCAACAAAAGAAGCACCGGCUAACUCUGUGCCAGCAGCCGCGGUAAUACAGAGGGUGCAAGCGUUAAUCGGAAUUACUGGGCGUAAAGCGCGCGUAGGCGGCUUGACAAGUCGAGUGUGAAAUCCCCGGGCUUAACCUGGGACCUGCAUUCGAAACUGUCUUGCUAGAGUAUGGGAGAGGGAAGUGGAAUUUCAGGUGUAGCGGUGAAAUGCGUAGAUAUCUGAAGGAACAUCAGUGGCGAAAGCGACUUCCUGGACCAAUACUGACGCUCAGGUGCGAAAGCGUGGGGAGCAAACAGGAUUAGAUACCCUGGUAGUCCACGCCAUAAACGAUGACAACUAGAUGUUGGGAGGGUUAGCCUCUCGGUGUCGUAGCUAACGCGUUAAGU